rnacentral:rRNA from 1 species
GAUGAACGCUAGCGGCAGGCUUAAUACAUGCAAGUCGUGGGGCAGCAUGGUGUGUAGCAAUACAGUUGCUGGCGACCGGCAAACGGGUGCGGAACGCGUACGCAACUUACCCAAAACUGGGGAAUAGCCCGGGGAAACCCGGAUUAAUACCUCGUAACAUAAUGAAGUGGCAUCACUUUAUUAUUAUAGCUCCGGCGGUUUUGGAUGGGCGUGCGCCUGAUUAGGUAGUUGGCGGGGUAACGGCCCACCAAGCCUACGAUCAGUAACUGGUGUGAGAGCACGACCAGUCACACGGGCACUGAGACACGGGCCCGACUCCUACGGGAGGUAGCAGUAAGGAAUAUUGGUCAAUGGACGCAAGUCUGAACCAGCCAUGCCGCGUGAAGGAUGAAGGUCCUCUGGAUUGUAAACUUCUUUUAUAUGGGAAGAAACCCACUUUUUCUUGAGUGGUUGACGGUACCAUAGGAAUAAGCACCGGCUAACUCCGUGCCAGCAGCCGCCGUAAAAC